AUUGAACGCUGGCGGCAUGCUUUACACAUGCAAGUCGAACGGCAGCGCGGGCUUCGGCCUGGCGGCGAGUGGCGAACGGGUGAGUAAUGCAUCGGAACGUGCCUAGUAGUGGGGGAUAGCCCGGCGAAAGCCGGAUUAAUACCGCAUACGUCCUGAGGGUGAAAGCGGGGGAUCGAAAGGCCUCGCGCUAUUGGAUCGGCCGAUGUCGGAUUAGCUAGUUGGUGGGGUAAAGGCUUACCAAGGCGACGAUCCGUAGCUGGUCUGAGAGGACGACCAGCCACACUGGAACUGAGACACGGCCCAGACUCCUACGGGAGGCAGCAGUGGGGAAUUUUGGACAAUGGGGGCAACCCUGAUCCAGCCAUGCCGCGUGCGGGAAGAAGGCCUUCGGGUUGUAAACCGCUUUUGUUCGGGAAGAAGUCCUCUGGGCUAAUACCCCGGGGGGAUGACGGUACCGGAAGAAUAAGCACCGGCUAACUACGUG
rnacentral:rRNA from 1 species